rnacentral:rRNA from 1 species
UACGUAGGGGGCAAGCGUUGUCCGGAAUCAUUGGGCGUAAAGAGCGUGUAGGCGGCCCGGUAAGUCCGCUGUGAAAGUCCAGGGCUCAACCCUGGGAUGCCGGUGGAUACUGUCGGGCUCGAGUCCGGAAGAGGAGUGUGGAAUUCCUGGUGUAGCGGUGAAAUGCGCAGAUAUCAGGAAGAACACCCGUGGCGAAAGCGGCUCUCUGGAACGGUACUGACGCUGAGAUGCGAAAGCGUGGGGAGCGAACAGG